ACGCCGCGUGAGGGAUGAAGGCUCUGGGCUGUAAACCUCUUUUAUCAAGAGAAGAAGAUCUGACGGUACUUGAUGAAUAAGCCACGGCUAAUUCCGUGCCAGCAGCCGCGGUAAUACGGGAGUGGCAAGCGUUAUCCGGAAUUAUUGGGCGUAAAGCGUCCGCAGGCGGUCUUGUAAGUCUGUCGUUAAAGCGUGGAGCUUAACUCCAUUUGAGCGAUGGAAACUGCAAGACUAGAGUGUGGUAGGGGCAGAGGGAAUUCCCGGUGUAGCGGUGAAAUGCGUAGAUAUCGGGAAGAACACCAGUGGCGAAGGCGCUCUGCUGGGCCAUAACUGACGCUCAUGGACGAAAGCCAGGGGAGCGAAAGGGAUUAGAUACCCCUGUAGUCCUGGCCGUAAACGAUGAACACUAGGUGUCGGGGGAAUCGACCCCCUCGGUGUCGUAGCCAACGCGUUAAGUGUUCCGCCUGGGGAGUACGCACGCAAGUGUGAAACUCAAAGGAAUUGACGGGGGCCCGCACAAGCGGUGGAGUAUGUGGUUUAAUUCGAUGCAACGCGAAGAACCUUACCAGNGUUUGACAUCCUGCGAAUCCCUUGGAAACGAGGGAGUGCCUUCGGGAGCGCAGUGACAGGUG
rnacentral:rRNA from 1 species